GACGAACGCUGGCGGCGUGCUUAACACAUGCAAGUCGAACGGAAAGGCCCUGCUUUUGUGGGGUGCUCGAGUGGCGAACGGGUGAGUAACACGUGAGUAACCUGCCCUUGACUUUGGGAUAACUUCAGGAAACUGGGGCUAAUACCGGAUAGGCGCUCCUGCUGCAUGGUGGGGGUUGGAAAGUUUCGGCGGUUGGGGAUGGACUCGCGGCUUAUCAGCUUGUUGGUGGGGUAGUGGCUUACCAAGGCUUUGACGGGUAGCCGGCCUGAGAGGGUGACCGGCCACAUUGGGACUGAGAUACGGCCCAGACUCCUACGGGAGGCAGCAGUGGGGAAUAUUGCACAAUGGGCGGAAGCCUGAUGCAGCAACGCCGCGUGCGGGAUGACGGCCUUCGGGUUGUAAACCGCUUUCGCCUGUGAUGAAGCGUGAGUGACGGUAAUGGGUAAAGAAGCACCGGCUAACUACGUG
rnacentral:rRNA from 1 species